rnacentral:rRNA from 1 species
CCUACGGGAGGCUGCAGUGGGGGAUAUUGCGCAAUGGGCGGAAGCCUGACGCAGCGACGCCGCGUGGGGGAUGACGGCCUUCGGGUUGUAAACCUCUUUCGGCCGGGACGAAGCCUGUGGGUGACGGUACCGGUAGAAGAAGCACUGGCCAACUACGUGCCAGCAGCCGCGGUAACACGUAGGGUGCGAGCGUUGUCCGAAGUUACUGGGCGUAAAGCGCGCGUAGGCGGUUUUCUAAGUCCGGCGUGAAAGGUUCAGGGCUCAACCCGAACAGUGCGCUGGAGACUGGAGAGCUUGAGGACGGGAGAGGGAAGCAGAAUUCCGGGUGUAGCGGUGAAAUGCGUAGAUAUCCGGAGGAACACCGAUGGCGAAGGCAGCUUCCUGGCCCGUAUCUGACGCUGAGGUGCGAAAGCGUGGGGAGCGAACGGGAUUAGAUACCC